AUCCACCCCAACUGAACUUCGUAUUUAUUAAAUCUAUCCACCCCAAUUAGAAACCCUUGUUCAUUCCGCCCCCAAAUCACAAAAAUUAUAAUUAGAAAAAAAGACCUUCUCCACUCUAUAUCAAGCAUUAUACUUAUCGAUUUUCUCCCAGUUUCUAUCCCAAUGGAUCCAAUAUCUAAAACCCCUCUAAAAUUUCAAUUACCAGUUACUUUCGUCGGCGGCCAGCCGCGUUAUUGGAUUGUUUCAUUGUUUCCUGUUUCUCUCUCCUCUCUUAAUUGAAGUUGAUAUUGUAAUUCAUCAAAUGUUGGGAGGACCGUCAAUUGUUGGCCUUGAUUUUCACUGGGGUUUUGUUGCUUGUUUCGGGAGAUGAACGACCGCGUGAGCUUCUGGAUUCUAGAGGUAUAUGAUGAACUACAUGGUGUAGGAGGAAGAAUGUUAUGAUUAUUGAAAUGACAUUCUUAGUGGAGGUUUAUACUCACAAGUUGGUGUUUGAUUUUCUUAGUGAUCUUAUAUAAGUUGAAUAUCUAGGUGAAUUGUCCAUCAUAGGUUGGACUUAUUUUGGUGAAACUUUGUUCGCAAUAUCGUAA